CCUCGAUUUACUGUUUUCAUAGGCCAUGUAGAGCUAAUUUUGUGGUGCAAAGUUGGAGCAAUGGUGGUGGUUUGGAGGAGUUUGGAGGUG
rnacentral:pre_miRNA from 1 species